GCUUGGCUCGCGCUUCCAGCGAGUGACAAGGUUUCGUGGCCUGGGGGCCUGAGCUGUUUCCUCUUGGAAAGGCCGAGGAGGCUCCGCCACUCUCCUUUGGACUGGUCGCGCUGAAGCUCUAUCCUAGGGCACUGGUCGCAAGAGCAGAUGGUGCCACACGCUCCGGGCCUACAAACUUCAGCGGCUGCCGGGCCCGGGCCCCUCGUCUUUUGUUGGGUUUCCUCUUGGUGCCAGGUCUCAGCCCCUGCAAAAGAAAGCUGGCUUUGGCCGCGCGCAGUGGCUCGCGCCUGUAAUCCCAGCAUUUGGGAGGCCAAGGCAGGUGGAUCACGAGGUCAGGAGAUCAAGACUAUCCUGGCCAACAUGGUAAAACCCCAUCUCUACUACCAAUAGAAAAAUUGGCCGGGCGUGGUGGCAGGCGCCUGUAGUCUCAGCUACUCAGGAGGCUGAGGCAGCAGAAUCCCUUGAACCCAGGAGGCGGAGGUUGCAGUGACCCGAGAUCGCCACUGCACUCCAGCCUGCGGGACAGAGGGAGACUCUGUCUCAAAAAAAAAAAAAAAAAAAAAAAAGAAACGAAAAAAUGAAAGCUGGCUUUGUAUAGGUGCUGGGGAGCGCAAACACCUGGCCUCCCCAAGAGGCUGGAGGAUGAGGAGGGUCACCGACUGAGCCCA
rnacentral:lncRNA from 1 species